CUAAUUUCCGGGCAGGAGAGAUACUGUGAUCACUAAGGUGGUCUUUUCAGGGUAGACUUACUCAUUGUAUGCCAGAUGUGCUGACCCCUGCCAUCUCUCUAAGUAAGGGAAACUUGACUGCAUAAUUUGUGGCAGUGGGGGGACUGCGUUUGUGCUUCCCCUUG